UAGGGAAUCUUCCACAAUGGACACAAGUCUGAUGGAGCAACGCCGCGUGAGUGAAGAAGGCUUUCGGGUCGUAAAACUCUGUUAUUGAAGAAGAACGUGUGUGACAGUAACUGGUCAUGCAGUGACGGCAUUCAAUCAGAAAGUCACGGCUAACUACGUGCCAGCAGCCGCGGUAAUACGUAGGUGGCAAGCGUUGUCCGGAUUUAUUGGGCGUAAAGCGAGUGCAGGCGGUCUUUUAAGUCUGAUGUGAAAGCCUUCGGCUUAACCGAAGAAGGGCAUCGGAAACUGGGAGACUUGAGUGCAG
rnacentral:rRNA from 1 species